rfam:Soboliphyme baturini genome assembly, scaffold: SBAD_contig0000991
UCCCGUGUGGUCUAGUGGUUAGGAUUUGCGGCUUUCACCCGCACGGCCCGGGUUCGAUUCCCGGCACGGGAA